UACAGAGGGUGCAAGCGUAAAUCGGAAUUACUGGGCGUAAAGCGCACGUAGGCGGUUAGUUAAGUUGGAUGUGAAAGCCCCGGGCUCAACCUGGGAAUUGCAUUCAAAACUGGCUAACUAGAGUAUGUGAGAGGGGGGUAGAAUUCCAAGUGUAGCGGUGAAAUGCGUAGAGAUUUGGAGGAAUACCAGUGGCGAAGGCGGCCCCCUGGCACAACACUGACGCUCAGGUGCGAAAGCGUGGGGAGCAAACAGG
rnacentral:rRNA from 1 species